rnacentral:lncRNA from 1 species
GUUCAGAGUUUCCAGGGAGGAACUGAGACAUGCAGGAGGGGCCGGCACCAUCUGAGGCUGCAGAGGAGGUCUCUGGUCAUUUUUCCCGUGGUUGCAGCACAAGCAAUUAUUUCACCCACAAGUGGAGGCUGGUUUACUUCUUUUCAGCUCUUAUGACAGCGUGUGUAGCUGUGGAAAUGCAGGAUGGCUCAGCAUGCCGGGAGAAUGGAGGACACCCCCACCGCGCUCGGCCUCGCUUGUCGGCCAGUUGCAUUUCUCAGGGAACCAGGCGUGCAGAGAAUGUUCCUGGAAUUCAGCGGCUGCUGUGGAGAGCUUUGCCCUGACUUCUGGCCAGCAGUCUCGUCAUCCACCACAGCCUCAGAAGCCCCUCGACCCCAGAAGCCACAAGCAUCACCCCGUGUCCUCGAGCUGGGCUCCCUCCUUCUCCCUGGUGUCCAGAUGCCCACCCCAUCGUUGGGCUCCCCCACGCCUCCAAGGACAAUGGGAAGCUCUUUACAGCAGCGUGGGCAGGUGACUAAAGGGUUAGGCCAGCUAGGGGCACCGUGACUGACCAGUGCAGGUCACAGGGGCUAAGGGACAGUCCCCUGACAUCCACCAGGAAGCCCAGCUAGCUCCCUCGAUCCUCACUGAAGUCAUCCAACUCCGGGACUGCUGGUGAAAUGGG